CCAUCGGUGGUUCAGUGGUAGAAUGCUCGCCUGCCACCCGGGUGCCCCGGGUUCGAUUCCCUGCCGAUGAU